CUGGUGAACCUCCCAUUCUGCCGUGACCCUGCCAUGGGCACGAGGCUCCUCUGCUGGGCAACCUUCUUUCUCCUGAGAGCAGAUCACACAGGUGCUGGAGUCUUCCAGUCUCCAAGAUACAGGGUCACAGAGAGGGGACAGAAUGUAUCACUCAGGUGUGAGCCAAUUGCUGGCCAUAACCGCCUUUUCUGGUACCGUCAGACCCAAGGGCAGGGUCCACAGUUUCUGAUUUACUUCCAAGAUAAGAGUGCCCCAGACACAUCAGGGAUGCCUAGUGAUCGAUUUUCUGCCGAGAGGCCUGAGGGAUCCUCCUCUACUCUGAAGAUCCAGCCAGUAAAGCAUGAAGAUUCAGCAGUUUAUCUCUGUGGCAGCAGCUUAGCCACAGCAUGA